rnacentral:snoRNA from 1 species
AGCACUGUGUGGUAUCUGCAGCCAGUAGUGCCAUCUGCUGGUUUGUUCAAAAGUCAGUGCUAGAGAAAUUCAGCAUUAGGCAUCGUUGGUCUCUAUGCAGUGUGUGCGUAGAGUCCUGGUAAACGUGUUGAGACAGCU